AUUGAACGCUGGCGGCAGGCCUAACACAUGCAAGUCGAACGAGUUGCGGACUUUUGAGUAAUUUCUGGGAAACUGCCUGAUGGAGGGGGAUAACUACUGGAAACGGUAGCUAAUCCCGCAUACCAUCGGAUGUGCCCAGAUGGGAUUAGCUAGUAGGUGGGGUAAAGGCUCACCUAGGCGACGAUCCCUAGCUGGGCUGAGAGGAUGACCAGCCACACUGGAACUUAUACACGGUCCAGACUCCUACGGGAGGCAGCAGUGUGGAAUAUUGCACAAUGGGCGCAAGACUGAUGCAGCCAUGCCGCGUGUAUGAAGAAGGCCUUCGGGUUGUAAAGUACUUUCAGCGGGGAGGCGGUAGCCGAAGAAGAAGCACAGGCUAACUCCGUGCCAGCAGCCGCGGUAAUUG
rnacentral:rRNA from 1 species